GUAGUCUCGCACAGAUGCAUAUCAAUAAGCGGAGGAAAAGAAACUAACAAGGAUUCCCCUAGUAACGGCGAGUGAAGCGGGAAGAGCUCAAAUUUGAAAUCUUAAAGGGUUUCCCUUUACGAAUUGUAGUUUAAAGAAGUGUUUUCUGUUGAGGUUUUGGUAAAAGUUCUUUGGAAUAGGACAUCAUAGAGGGUGAGAAUCCCGUAUUUGACCUUUACUUUCAACUUUGUGAUACACUUUCAAAGAGUCGGAUUGUUUGGGAAUGCAGUCCAAAAUGGGUGGUAAAUUUCAUCUAAAGCUAAAUAUUGGCGAGAGACCGAUAGCGAACAAGUAUCGUGAGGGAAAGAUGAAAAGAACUUUGAAAAGAGAGUUAAACAGUACGUGAAAUUGUCAAAAGGGAAGCGUUUGACACCAGUGUUGUUUUUCUGAAAAUCAAUUAAAGAACUGUUUAUGCUAAGCUGUUUAGACUCUAUCAGCUAUCUGCUUAGUUUUGAGCUUUUCUUUAAUGCACUUUUCAGUUAACAAGUCAACAUCAAUUUCUUUUGCUGUAAAAGAGCUUGAGGAAGGUGGCUUGAGAUUCGUCUUAAGUGUUUAUAGCCUCUUGCCUAUGCAGUCGGAGAGAUUGAGGUCUGCAGCGUAGAUCCUUCGGGGCUAAAUGCAUUUGUGCUAAGUUAUAACAUUUUAUAGACAACUUGUUGACUAUGAUUUGUCUUGUAGCUUACUCGCUUAUGUUAUUUUACCUACGCUUAGGAUGUUGAUCUGUAGUGCGUGCGC
rnacentral:rRNA from 1 species